GUGACUCCAAUUUAGCCCCCACAUUAUAUGCGGGGACCAUACUAGUACAAACUCGGAACUGCGGUACAUAUAAACUCGGAACUGCGAUACAUAUUAUACAUGUAAUAAACUUAAUUUACAUAUUAUCAGCUAUAAUGAUGCCAGUAAACUUCACAAAUUAAGAGCUUUUCUUCUGCUUUUUCGCCUGCCACUCCCUGCGAUCAGCAUCAAUCUUUGCAGUUACUUUGGCAUGGAAACCAGGAUACGGCUCGUAAUGAAAGAAGAUUUGAAGCAGCUCAAGUAAGACGAAGAAUGGAGCCAUUACAAGGGCUUGAGACAGGUUGUCGAGAAGAGCAGGUGCUCGUUUCUCAAAUACUCCGUGGCCUAUAAAUUGAAAGGUCCAGCAAAACAACUGAGCAGCUAGAACAACCUUCCACGCGAGCGUGUACCCGAGCUGACCCGCAAGCCGAUCACUCCCCACCCAGCAGAGUAUACAGAGAAGCGCCGCCAAUGAUCCAGCCUUCCGGUCCAACAACACAUAGAACAGACCGUACAGCAGAGCGGCGACGAAGCCGAAGUUGAGAUCAACGCCAUCGGCGCCGAACAGCGUGAUGGGGAGGUGGAGGAGGGGAGGGGUGAAGUGGAAGAGGAUUAGGGCGGUGAAGAGGAUCGGCCAGACGAAGAAGACGUGGAUCAGGACGUUGACUGAGUUGCUGUGGUAGGCGCCGUAGAAGGCGAAGUGGCGCUCGAGAUCGAGGAGACCCUCCG
rnacentral:misc_RNA from 1 species